CCCUUAGAUGUUCUGGGCCGCACGCGCGCUACACUGAUGCAUUCAACGAGUCUAAAACCUGGUCUGAUAGGGCUGGGUAAUCUUUUGAAAGUGCAUCGUGAUUGGGAUAGAUGAUUGCAAUUCUUCAUCUUCAACGAGGAAUGCCUAGUAAACGCAAGUCAUCAGCUUGCAUUGAUUACGUCCCUGCCCUUUGCACACACCGCCCGUCGCUCCUACCGAUUGAAUGAUCCGAUGAAUACCAUGGAUUGAGAGUACGAAUGGGUUCGCUCAUUUCUGCUGCUCGAGAAGUGGAGUAAAUCUUAUCAUUUAGAGGAAGGAGAAGUCGUAACA
rnacentral:rRNA from 1 species